rnacentral:pre_miRNA from 1 species
UGAGCAACACAACCGAACUCUCGGUUAGACUCCGAGAGUUUGGUGGUGUUGUUCA